AAACUAGAUACAAGCGAGCGGCGGACGGGUGAGUAACACGUGGGUAACCUGCCCAAGAGACUGGGAUAACACCUGGAAACAGAUGCUAAUACCGGAUAACAACACUAGACGCAUGUCUAGAGUUUGAAAGAUGGUUCUGCUAUCACUCUUGGAUGGACCUGCGGUGCAUUAGCUAGUUGGUAAGGUAACGGCUUACCAAGGCAAUGAUGCAUAGCCGAGUUGAGAGACUGAUCGGCCACAUUGGGACUGAGACACGGCCCAAACUCCUACGGGAGGCAGCAGUAGGGAAUCUUCCACAAUGGACGAAAGUCUGAUGGAGCAACGCCGCGUGAGUGAAGAAGGGUUUCGGCUCGUAAAGCUCUGUUGGUAGUGAAGAAAGAUAGAGGUAGUAACUGGCCUUUAUUUGACGGUAAUUACUUAGAAAGUCACGGCUAACUACGUGCCAGCAGCCGCGGUAAUACGUAGGUGGCAAGCGUUGUCCGGAUUUAUUGGGCGUAAAGCGAGUGCAGGCGGUUCAAUAAGUCUGAUGUGAAAGCCUUCGGCUCAACCGGAGAAUUGCAUCAGAAACUGUUGAACUUGAUUGCAGAACAGGAGAGUGGAACUCCAUGUGUAGCGGUGGAAUGCGUAGAUAUAUGGAAGAACACCAGUGGCGAAGGCGGCUCUCUGGUCUGCAACUGACGCUGAGGCUCGAAAGCAU
rnacentral:rRNA from 1 species